rnacentral:lncRNA from 1 species
GCUGUUUAAAGAAACCAGAUGGUCUGGAUGCCACAAGUAGCCCCCUUGAGACCCGCUGCUGAAUAACUGAGGAAGUUCAGACCCACAUGAAACUGGUGCAGACCAGAGCAGAAGAUCACUCUGACUACAGUAUGGAGAACAAAUAGGAACCAUGUGUGAGGGCUGCAGAAAAGACACUGGGGAGGCUGGUGCAGUUCAGGCUAAAGAUGAUCAGGGCCAGAACCAUAGAAGUGGCCUUAAGACUGCAGAGGAGAAGUUAGGUAACUGUCAUCCUCCAUCUGGGAUUUGGUGGCAAAUUGAAUGUGUGUGUGUGUGUGUGUGUGUGUG